GUAUCCUGGCUCAGGAUGAACGCUAGCGGCAGGCUUAACACAUGCAAGUCGAGGGGCAGCGCGGGAUAGCAAUAUCCUGGCGGCGACCGGCGGAAGGGUGCGUAACGCGUGAGCGACAUGCCCGUUGCCCGGGGACAACCGGUGGAAACGCCGACUAAUCCCCGAUGGGAUAUUGUGCCGCAUGGCACGAUAUUGAAAGUUACGGCGGCGACGGAUUGGCUCGCGUUCCGAUUAGCUUGUUGGCGGGG
rnacentral:rRNA from 1 species